AUUGAACGCUGGCGGCAUGCCUUACACAUGCAAGUCGAACGGCAGCACGGGAGCAAUCCUGGUGGCGAGUGGCGAACGGGUGAGUAAUAUAUCGGAACGUGCCCAGUCGUGGGGGAUAACGCAGCGAAAGCUGUGCUAAUACCGCAUACGAUCUAAGGAUGAAAGCGGGGGAUCGCAAGACCUCGCGCGAUUGGAGCGGCCGAUAUCAGAUUAGCUAGUUGGUGGGGUAAAGGCCCACCAAGGCGACGAUCUGUAGCUGGUCUGAGAGGACGACCAGCCACACGGGAACUGAGGCACGGUCCAGACUCCUACGGGAGGCAGCAGUGGGGCAUUUUGGACAAUGGGAGCAAGCCUGGUCCAGCAAUGCCGCGUGCAGGAUGAAGGCCUUCGGGUUGUAAACUGCUUUUGUACGGAACGAAACGGCCAUUUCUAAUACAGGGGGCUAAUGACGGUACCGUAAGAAUAAGCACCGGCUAACUACGUGCCAGCCGCCGCGGUAAAAC
rnacentral:rRNA from 1 species